rnacentral:lncRNA from 1 species
AUAAUGCGUACUAUAAGAAAAUUAGUUGAACGGGAGGGGAAUGUGUUCACUGUCGGUGUGAACUUAAAUGGGGAGGAAUAUGUUACUGUCGAGUCGUCCUGUUCAAUUAUUAAGCCCUAAUCCAAUAAGCAUUACGUUGUUUAAAGUAGAUAGAUGAGGUAACAUGUUUUUCUGGUCGUUAGAUUCGUCUUAUGUUAUAAUACGA